AGGUCAGUAAGAGGACACCAUGCCUAUGUGAACAGCCAUCUGUCACAUGAAGCGGAGUGGGAAUUAUGAUACAAUAAAAAAUACAAUGGAACACACAAACACAACAAACCUUUGGGGACAAGCGUAUGGAGAGAGCAGAGGUCCAGAGGGGCAGAGUGUGAUGGCUGAGUUGAGACACAGCACAGAUCAAACAGCAGGAGCAGCAGCUGAGACCUCACAAG